rnacentral:lncRNA from 1 species
UUUGGCGGCCAUAGCUCGUGCUUACCGCCCAGGGAGCCUGUUAGGGCAAGGCCACUUAGUCAGGAGUCAGGACUUGGGAGUUUGCAAAAUGUACAGGUUAGUCAUACAUCUAUGGCGGUUAUCCCAGACACUAAGCAAACAACUAUAAGCUGACAAUCAUGGAAUAGCUGUUAUUUGAUAAGCUAGUUGUCCUUUGGUUCGACAUUUGGAUUAGAUGUGAUUGAUUAUCCCAAGAAUUAUGUAAAGGGUAUAUAUUUAUUUACUUGUUUUGGUUAGAGGGAAACUUCAAAUCUUAACGGAAGAGGGGAAAGAGGAUGGAAAAGGAGAAGGUUAGAGAGAUAUGCUGACCACUGACCACUGAAGUUUCUUGAAUUAGGUUUUGGAAAUGUGGAAAGGAUACUUCGUGGUUGUGCAAAAUAGUUAGACGGGGGCUUAAUUAUUUUUUGAAUGAAAAAACAGUGGGUGAACUUGAAUUAAGAAGGUAUCUAACGCAAGAAGCAGCACACGUACAUAUAUAUUAAAGAAUUAAUCUUGACUAUAGAGACCAUUAUAUUUUAUACACUAGUGAUUUUGGGUGAAUAACUCAUCACUCACUUUGAAUUUGACCUCUAAAUUUUAUACAUGUGUAGCAUGUAUUCAGACCUGUUAGUGCCUGCUUGCCGAAAAAAAGUCAGUUCUACAUGAUUUGUUGGAUCCAUAGAAAGUCCACUGUAUUACACGAAGAACAAGUUUUCAUUCAACUCCUAUUAGAAAAAACUACACAAGUUUUUCUUUAAAACUCAAUAUCUUUUCAUCAAUGAUUUCCAAGAUAUGUACACAAGUUAAGGGCAUUCCUCUUAUGAAACACACCCAAAACGGAAACUAAGACUUGUAAAUUCUAUUAAGCAACGGUCAAAACUAGGUUUUAAAUCUAAAAAUAGGGAAAAAAUUAAUUUUCUCCAAGCUCUGUAUGGAUAUUCAUUCUUUUUUUUUCAAAAAAAAUUUUGUAAAACAGUAACAACUCUAAAAACAAUUUCUAAAAUAAUUCUAAAAAUACCAUUUCAAAUACACUUACAAAAACAAAAAAUAUUAAAAAAAUUCCCCCACCUUUUCUACUUCCACCUACCACCAUCCCUUCUCUCCUCAUUCCUCCAUUGUCAUUAUUGGCCCUCUCCCAUCCUUCACCGCCAUCAUCACGCCUUCCCUUCCUUCUUCUUCCUUCUUCCUCUUCUUCUCUUCCUCUCCUUUCUCCUCCUCUCUCUCCCUCUCUCCUCUUCUCCCUAGCCACUCCCCUCCUUCUGAGGAUGCGACUUUCUUGUCGCAGCCAGAAGCCACGACUCCCUUUCCUUUCACCUUCUUCUUCGUUCUCUCCUCUCCUUCAUUCUCCUCUUCUCCCCUGCCACCCUCCUUUUCUCCCCUGCCACCAUCCUUCCCUUUGAUGCAAUCUCUAGCCAUGACUUUCUUAUUGUAGCCAAAAGCUGCGAUUAAGGACGAAGGGGGUGAUGAAGUGUGGGAGGAGAGACGAGGAGGAAGUAGGGAAAGGAGUGGUAGACUAGGAGGAAGGAGGAGAGAGGAGGAGUGAGGGGGUGGAGGGUGGUAUUAGUUCCAAUUUUCAAAAGAUAUCCCAAAAAAAAUUUAAAUUCUAAAAAAACCCCAAAAUACAUUCUCAAAAACACCCUUAAAAACACCUAAUCCAUAUUCCAUACUGGGCCAAAGUUAUAUCACUUUGUCAUAUUUGAACAUUCAAUUGCAUCAAUUUCAAAAUUUUGGUACUUAAAUUUCUUUAAUCAAAAUCAAUUAGCAAAUAAGUUUCAAUUCCUUUUUCAUUUGUAAUAUGAACUACACAUGCCGAUAGUGAAAAGAUCAAAAAUAACCAUUUGUAACAGAGUUCUACCAACAGUUCUUCAUUAUGUCUCACCAAAAAAAAAAAAAGUCUAAUUAAGAGUUGUGUCCAUAGAAAUAUGUUACCUAUAAUGGUGAUUUUGAAAACAAAACCAGGCUUCAAAUAUUUGGGGUUAUUUAGGCUUUUUAUCAAUGGCAUGUGCAUUUCAUGUUAUGUUAGCAAACUCAAGAGAAGUUGAAACUUAUAUACUAAUUAUAUUCAGUUGAAAAAAUUAUGUACUACAGAUGUAUGUGCCAAAAGGAGGAAAACUAUUCUAG